rnacentral:lncRNA from 1 species
ACCAUAAAAUUGUAUUUUUUUCCAUGCCUACUUUUUUCAUUAAAAGUCACAUUCUUUCACUAAAAGUUACAUUCAUAUACUAAGAGUCAUAUAUUUUUAUUAGAGUCACAUUUAUUUACUAAAAGUUGCAUCCAUUCAGGCCGUUUGCUUUGACGUAAUUAUAAAUUCUGUGCAGUUGAGAUGCAUGCAAUUGAAAGUACAAUAAUUAUAAUAUAUGCAUUUUAUUUGACUAAAUGUAAUAGAAAGUACUCAAAUAUAAAUACUUUGUUGUUUGCAUACAGUUGAGAAGUGUGUUUAUAAAUUUUUAUCAUUGCAUAUUUGAGGUGGUACGAUUAAUACCCUAUAUAGGAAAAAUAUAUAUAUUUAAGAGGUUAUUAUGGAUGUAAACUUACUUUUUUAAAAAUUUACUCUCGCCAAGUACUGUAGUUGGAACUGCGGCAAAUUUGGGCACGUGUAGUUCCAAUUGCUAUAGUUAAGCCUCUCAUAUUGUUGCAACUGUACCAGUUAAAUUCAAAUGCAUCAACACAAAUGCCAGAUUUGGAUCUAUAUAUAGUUACAACUGUACGUGCAAUCAAACAUCCCCUAAAAAGAGUCAAAAGACAAACAACAUAAUUAUAUUAU